rnacentral:tRNA from 1 species
GAAAUGCUAGUUAACAAUAACAUUACCUUGUCAAGGUAAAAUCACAGGUUAAAUCCCUGUGCAUUUCU